AUUGAACGCUGGCGGCAUGCCUUACACAUGCAAGUCGAACGGUAACAGGUUAAGCUGACGAGUGGCGAACGGGUGAGUAAUAUAUCGGAACGUGCCCAGUCGUGGGGGAUAACGUAGCGAAAGCUACGCUAAUACCGCAUACGAUCUACGGAUGAAAGCGGGGGAUCGCAAGACCUCGCGCGAUUGGAGCGGCCGAUAUCAGAUUAGGUUGUUGGUGAGGUAAAGGCUCACCAAGCCUGCGAUCUGUAGCUUGUCUGAGAGGACGACCAGCCACACUGGAACUGAGACACGGUCCAGACUCCUACGGGAGGCAGCAGUGGGGAAUUUUGGACAAUGGACGCAAGUCUGAUCCAGCAAUGCCGCGUGCAGGACGAAGGCCUUCGGGUUGUAAACUGCUUUUGUACGGAACGAAACGGCGAGCUCUAAUACAGUUUGCUAAUGACGGUACCGUAAGAAUAAGCACCGGCUAACUACGUGCCAGCCGCCGCCGUAA
rnacentral:rRNA from 1 species